ACUAAUACCCGUUUGAAGUAGGCGUGUUAUGCCAUUCAAAAGUAUUUCAUAAAUAAUUUAUUUUAUCUUUAAAUCUGAUCGCAUCCAAAACUUUCAGAAAUCAUAUAUACGUUUGUUUGCGAAUUUAACUUCAAAAUUAUGCUUGGUAUUCGAUAUUUUCGAUUUACUAAGGCGGAAAAGAGCGUGGAAAAAUUUAAAACAAUCUGGAUCUAUAUCUAGUUGCUUAUACGGACUGACGGAUAGACAGACAUCAAGAAAUAUAUUAUUGAUAAAGUGUGAUUGAUCUAAUAUGAGCUUAACAGAGGCAAUCUUUGCAUUUUGUUUAGGGAAUAAAUAUAUAUAAAUAUAAAUAUA